ensembl:lncRNA
UAAACUUCAUGGGGUCUAGAAACAUAUUUGCUUUGACACUAAAACUCAGCAUCUUGACAGUCAGUCUUUUAGUUGAAUAAAUACAUGAUAUACAAACUAAAUAUUUCUGCCCCUCAAGAACUGCCUAAUAGAGAAGAAAAUAGAAAUCAAUUUGAUGACUCUCAGUAUUAGGUGAAUAUAUAAUUUGUCAUUCUGACAUAAGCUUGGUCAUAAAAAGGGCAUAUGAAUAAUUACACACAGUUGAAGUGUAUGACCACCUAGGGCCAAGUGGGUUAAAUGUUCACCCUAGCUAUGUAAGGCAUUCCAUGUCAAUAGGAGAGGAAGGAGGAAGAUGGGAGGGAGUUUAGUUGGGAAGGUGGUUACGGUGGGAAGAAUCACCAUGCUCAUUACUUAGCAGCAAAGAGAGAAUCUGUGAUCAUUUGUUGCUUAUGAAAGGGUGAUAGGCAUUAUUUAAUUAUAAUGCAGGCAUCAGUGCUCUCCUGUCGCUGAAAUAGGAAGUCUAUAACUCAGAAUUCCUUGCUGUUUCAUCAAAAACAAUUCAAAACAAAAACCUAAUUAAGCAUAAGAGGAAGUUAUGCAUUAGAAGUCUAUUCUAAACUCUAGGAGGUUCAGGGGUUGGAAAAUUCAUCCAAAAUCUUGCUGCAAAAUGUCCCAUACAUUCUCCAUGACCACUACCCAUAAGCAUAAGCUCUUUUAAAAAAAAAGAUUUGUUUAUUUGAAAGUCAGAGUUACGCAGAGAGAGGAGAAGCAGAGAGUGAGAGGGAGAGAGAGGGAGAGAGAGAAUCUUCCAUCUGCUGGUUUACUCCCCAAUUGGAUACAAUGGCCAGAGCUGAGCUGAUCCAAAGCCAGGAGUUAGGAGCUUCUUCCAGGUUUCCCAAGUGGGUUCAGGGGUCCAAGGACGUGGGCCAUCUUCUACUGCUUUCUCAGGCCAUAGCACAGCAGGAUCAGAAGGGGAGCAGCCGAGACUCGAACCGGUGACCAUAUGGGAUGCUGGCACUGCGGGCAGCAGCCUUACCUGCUACACCACAGCACCAGCCCCCAUAAGCCCUAUCUUCUGCAGAACCAGCACCCCAGACACCAGCCACCACAUGGCAUCCCAUGGCACACUCACCCCUGGCAAUGUUCUGCAGCUCCUGCUCCUCUCCACCUUCACUGGAAGAAUCUGCAACUCCUUUUUUUCAUGCAAAUGAUGCCCCUGACACAAUUGGCUGGCAAGUGCCAUGGCAUGUGUCCAUGACCUAGCUAAAUGCAAAGCUGGAACAUUUUAAACUUUUCACUGCCAUGCUGAGACACGGACUCCAUCUAUGAAGUAGGGGAUUUUUCAGGGAGUCUAGAGAAUCAAAUAUGACAAAAUGACAAAUCUUAACCAGAGACUGCCAUGGUACAGAUGAAGAGAACCCAAAAUGUAUUUUUCUAUCUUUUCUUUUCUGAGUCAAGUGCCUAAAAACAAAGCCAAUGAGGGUUAAACAGACCCAUUCUGAAAUUCCUUAACAUCUUCAUUUUCAUCCAAAUUAAUAUAUUACUUGAAGAAAAUAAAUUUUACAUAAAUGAAAAUGCA